CCGAUAAGAAUUAAGUUCAGCUUUAAGUUUACCUAAUAAAUAUAAAAUUUUAAUGUAAACCUAAAUGUUAAUUUGCAGAGGUACAGCUCUGCAGAAUAAGAAUACAACCUUAAUUAGUGAGUAAAUUUAUUCAACAACCAUAGUUGGCCUAAAAGCAGCCACCAAUUAAGAAAGCGUUCAAGCUCAACAGUCAAAUUCGUGCUUAAUUUUUAAAAUAAUAUAAACUCCUAAUUUAACUACUGGAUUAUUCUACCUAUUCGUAGAAGAAAUACUGUUAAUAUGAGUAACAAGAUUCCAUAUCUCCAAACACACGUGUAUAUCAGCCCAGAAUCCUAACUGAUAAUUAACAAUUAGAUAAAUCUGUAUACUUAAUUAAUAAUUUUCCACUACAUUGUUAAUCCAACACUGGAGUGUUCAUAAGGAAAGAUUAAAAAAAGUAAAAGGAACUCGGCAAACAUAAACCCCGCCUGUUUACCAAAAACAUCACCUCUAGCAUUACUAGUAUUAGAGGCACUGCCUGCCCAGUGACAUUAGUUAAACGGCCGCGGUAUCCUGACCGUGCAAAGGUAGCAUAAUCAUUUGUUCCUUAAUUAGGGACUAGUAUGAAUGGCCCCACGAGGGUUUAACUGUCUCUUACUUUCAAUCAGUGAAAUUGACCUCCCCGUGAAGAGGCGGGGAUAUAAAAAUAAGACGAGAAGACCCUAUGGAGCUUAAAUCAAAUAUCCAACAAAACUAAAACUUAAUCCAACAGGAAUAAUGAUAUUUUAACUGGAUAAUAAAUUUUGGUUGGGGUGACCUCGGAGCACAAUAAAACCUCCGAGCUAUUUUACCAAGACUAACCCGUCAAGGUUAUUUUUUUUUGAUCCAAUCAUAUUGAUCAACGAAACAAGUUACCCUAGGGAUAACAGCGCAAUCCUAUUUAAGAGUUCCUAUCGACAAUAGGGUUUACGACCUCGAUGUUGGAUCAGGACACCCAAAUGGUGCAGCAGCUAUUAAAGGUUCGUUUGUUCAACGAUUAAAGUCCUACGUGAUCUGAGUUCAGACGGA
rnacentral:rRNA from 1 species